rnacentral:ncRNA from 14 species
UUAUUUUGAGGGGGAAAGGUUCCCCACGCGCUUACCCCUUGGGUAAGUUACCAGAGAUCAGGAUUACCGCCCUGCAAAAUAA